rnacentral:rRNA from 1 species
AGAAGCAGCCAUCCUUUAAAGAUAGCGUAACAGCUCACUCAUCUAGAGAUUUUGCGUCGAAAAUAAUUGGGGCUAAGCAUAGUACCGAAUUUGAGGAUUUCGUUUUUCUUCGGAAGAACGGAGUGGUAGGAGAGUGUUCCAAUCUGCUGUGAAGUAGGACUCGUGAGAGCCUAUGGAGCGUUUGGAAGUAAGAAUGUUGGCACAAGUAACCGCAAUGAGGGUGAGAUCCCCUCACGUCGAAAGAUCAAGGUUUCCUUGGUAAUGUCAAUCAGCCAAGGGUUAGUCGGGCCUAAGGGAAUGGAGAAAUCCGUACUCGAUGGACAUAGGGUUAAUAUUCCCUGACUUCUGUAUUUUGUGAUGGGACGACGGAGUGUAGUAUGUAUUGCUCAUUAUUGGAUUUGAAGUUUGUUUACUAAAGAUGAGGUGUAGGAAAAUCCGCACACUGCUUUCAAUGGCAAAUCUAAGGUAAAUGAAAAGUCUUAAGCCUCGGUUUAGGACAAUAAUACAAAGCACGCUUCCAAGAAAAAUCUCUAAACUUAAAAAUAUAGAAUCCGUACCGCAAACCGACACAGGUGAUCAGGUCGAGUAGACCAAGACGAACGAGUGAGUGGUCCCCAAGGAACUCGGCAAAAAAGCAGCCGUAACUUCGGGAUAAGGCUUGCCCCCACCACUUUGGAUAUUUCUAAGUGGUGGGGGCCGCAGCGAAAGUUUCUCUGGCAACUGUUUACCAAAAACACAGCUCCCUGCGAACUCGUAAGAGGAUGUAUAGGGGGUGACACCUGACCAAUGCCAGAAGGUCAAAUAUCGGCGGUGUAUGUCGCAAGAUGUAUGCAGACUGAUAUAAGCCCUGGUGAAUGUCGGCCGUAACUAUAACGGUCCUAAGGUAGCGAAAUACCUUGUCGGGUAAGUUCCGACGCGCACGAAUGGUGUAAUGACUGGAGAACUGUCUCGGGGACCAGCUCGGUGAAAAUACAAUGCCGGUGAAGAUGCCGGCUAAGUGCAGUUAGACGAAAAGACCCUAGAAGCUUUACUAUAACUUGAUAUUGAGCAUGUUUUUAAACUGCGUAGAAUAGAUGGGAGAGGUUUGAAGUGUACGGUUUCGGCUGUAUUCUACUCGUCAGUGAAAUACCAUUCUUUUUGAAGGCAUGUUCUAACCAAUACGGCAAAAACGUAUUGAGACAGUAUCUGGUGGAUAGUUUUACUGGGGCUGUACCCUCCUAAAAAGUAAAGGAGGGGUUUAAAGGUUAGCUAGGCGCGAAUGGAAACCGUGCCGAUAGUGUAAUGGCACAAGCUAGCUUGACUGUAAGAGGUACAUCUCAAGCAGGUGGGAAACCAGAACAUAGUGAUCCGACCAUACGCAUUAGACGCGGUGGAAGCUCAACGGAUAAAAGCUACUCUAGGGAUAACAGGCUAGUUCCGCCUAAGAGUUCAUAUCGACGGCGGAGUUCGGCACCUCGAUGUCGGCUCACCUUAGCGCGGCGGUGGAGAAGCUGCCAAGCGUAUGGCUGUUCGCCAUUUAAAAAGGUACGCGAGCUGGGUUCAGACCGUGUGAGACAGGUUGGUCUCCUAUCUACUGCACUCGUUGAUUCUUGAGAAGAUUUGCUCCUAGUAGGCCCGGACGAGAGGACCGGAGUGAACUGACCUCUGGUGUACGAGCUCUAUUGCCAAAUGGACUGCUCGGUAGCUAUGUCGGGAUUGGAUAACCUCUGAAAGCAUCUAAGAGGGAAGCCAGCUUCAAGAUUAGGAAUCGUUAAGAACCGUGAGAGAUGAUCACGUUGAUAGGCUUUAAGUGUAAGCACAGUAAUGUGUUGAGCUGAGAAGUACUAAUGUUUCG